AUGGACAUGAAGGCCCCCAUUCAGUUCCUGGGGCUCCUGUUUCUUUGGCUCCCAGGUGUCAGAUGUGAUAUCCAGAUGAUUCAGUCUCCAUCCUCCCUGCCUGCAUCUGUAGGAGACAGAGUCACCCUCACUUGUCAAGCAAGUCAGAGCAUUGGCAAUGACUUAUCCUGGCAUCAACAGAAACCAGGGAAAGCCCCUAAUCUCCUGAUCUAUGAGGCAACCAAAUUGAACUCUGGGGUCCCAUCACGGUUCAGUGGUAGUAGAUCUGGGAAACAUUACACUCUCACCAUCAGCAGCCUACAGCCUGAAGAUUUGGGGACUUAUUACUGUCUACAGGAUUACGAUUACCCCCUCACAGUGUUACAAACCAUAACAUAA